rnacentral:rRNA from 1 species
GAUGAACGCUGGCGGCGUGCCUAAUACAUGCAAGUCGAGCGAACAGACGAGGAGCUUGCUCCUCUGACGUUAGCGGCGGACGGGUGAGUAACACGUGGAUAACCUACCUAUAAGACUGGGAUAACUUCGGGAAACCGGAGCUAAUACCGGAUAAUAUAUUGAACCGCAUGGUUCAAUAGUGAAAGACGGUUUUGCUGUCACUUAUAGAUGGAUCCGCGUCGCAUUAGCUAGUUGGUAAGGUAACGGCUUACCAAGGCGACGAUGCGUAGCCGACCUGAGAGGGUGAUCGGCCACACUGGAACUGAGACACGGUCCAGACUCCUACGGGAGGCAGCAGUAGGGAAUCUUCCGCAAUGGGCGAAAGCCUGACGGAGCAACGCCGCGUGAGUGAUGAAGGUCUUCGGGUCGUAAAACUCUGUUAUUAGGGAAGAACAAAUGUGUAAGUAACUAUGCACGUCUUGAUGGUACCUAAUGAGAAAGCCACGGCUAACUACGUG